rnacentral:rRNA from 1 species
UACAAAGGUCUCGAGCGUUGUUCGGAUUCAUUGGGCGUCAAGGGUGCGUAGGUGGCGUGGUAAGUCGGAUGUGAAAUCCCGGGGCUCAACCCCGGAACUGCAUUCGAUACUGCCUUGCUAGAGUACUGGAGAGGAGAUUGGAAUUUACGGUGUAGCAGUGAAAUGCGUAGAUAUCGUAAGGAAGACCAGUGGCGAAGGCGGAUCUCUGGACAGUUACUGACACUGAGGCACGAAGGCCAGGGGAGCAAACGGG